UGAACGCUAGCGACAGGCCUAACACAUGCAAGUCGAGGGGCAGCACAAGGAGCAAUCUGAGGUGGCGACCGGCGCACGGGUGAGUAACACGUAUGCAACCUGCCUGUAAGCGGGGAAUAACCCGUUGAAAGACGGACUAAUACCGCAUAAUACUAAAUUACUGCAUGGUAAUUUAUUUAAACAUUUAUGGCUUACAGAUGGGCAUGCGCAUGAUUAGCUAGUUGGAGAGGUAACGGCUCCCCAAGGCAACGAUCAUUAGGGGUUCUGAGAGGAAGGUCCCCCACACUGGUACUGAGACACGGACCAGACUCCUACGGGAGGCAGCAGUGAGGAAUAUUGGUCAAUGGACGAGAGUCUGAACCAGCCAAGUCGCGUGCAGGAAGAAUGUCCUUAAUGGAUUGUAAACUGCUUUUGCAGGGGAAUAAAGUGCAUCACGUGUGAUGUUUUGUAUGUACUCUGCGAAUAAGGAUCGGCUAACUCCGUGCCAGCCGCUGC
rnacentral:rRNA from 1 species